UACGGGGGGGGCAAGCGUUGUUCGGAAUUACUGGGCGUAAAGGGCUCGUAGGCGGCCAACUAAGUCAGACGUGAAAUCCCCAGGCUCAACCUGGGAACUGCGUCUGAUACUGGAUGGCUUGAAUCCGGGAGAGGGAUGCAGAAUUCCAGGUGUAGCGGUGAAAUGCGUAGAUAUCUGGAGGAAUACCGGUGGCGAAGGCGACUCACUGGCCCGAUACUGACGCUGAGGCGCGAAAGCGUGGGGAGCAAACAGG
rnacentral:rRNA from 1 species